CCUACGGGAGGCAGCAGUGAGGAAUAUUGGUCAAUGGACGAGAGUCUGAACCAGCCAAGUAGCGUGAAGGAUGACUGCCCUAUGGGUUGUAAACUUCUUUUAUAUGGGAAUAAAACGUUCCACGUGUGGGAUUUUGUAUGUACCAUAUGAAUAAGGAUCGGCUAACUCCGUGCCAGCAGCCGCGGUAAUACGGAGGAUCCGAGCGUUAUCCGGAUUUAUUGGGUUUAAAGGGAGCGUAGGUGGAUUGUUAAGUCAGUUGUGAAAGUUUGCGGCUCAACCGUAGAAUUGCAGUUGAAACUGGCAGUCUUGAGUACAGUAGAGGUAGGCGGAAUGCGUGGUGUAGCGGUGAAAUGCUUAGAUAUCACGAAGAACUCCGAUUGCGAAGGCAGUUCACUGGACUGCAACUGACACUGAGGCUCGAAAGUGUGGGUAUCAAACAGGAUUAGAUACCCGGGUAGUC
rnacentral:rRNA from 1 species